rnacentral:lncRNA from 1 species
UCGACGAAAGCUGGUCGGCAGUCUACCUUGGGGUAUACCCACGGUAGUAGUUUAUCGGUAGACGGUGCGCAAACUACGAACUCGAUGGUGACGAAAGACACGGACAAACUUUUUAUCCAGGUUCGGCCGCCGAGUUGGCGUAAUACCUACGUCCUGCGUCUGGUUGUAUUGAUUUGUGUUGAGAGAAUAUGAUCUGAUGUG